UUUGGGGAAAAAUUGUAAAAGGUUUGCCGUGUGACAGCGGAGGGAUCAUUACAGAGUGUAAAAACUCCCAAAACCCAUGUGAACAUACCCUAUCGUGGCUUCGGCGGGAUCGCCCCGGGCGCCUUUGUGUGCCCCGGAGUAAGGCGCCCGCCCGGGGGACCCCAAACUCUUGUUUUUAACGAGUAUCUUCUGAGUAACGUUUUUAAAAUAAAUAAAAAACUUUCAACAACGGAUCUCUUGGUUCUGGCAUCGAUGAAGAACGCAGCGAAAUGCGAAAAGUAAUGUGAAAUUGCAGAAUUCAGUGAAUCAUCGGAAUCUUUGAACGCACAUUGCGCCCGCCAGUAUUCUGGCGGGCAUGCCUGUCUGAGCGUCAUUUCAACCCUCAUGCCCCCCAAGGCGUGGUGUUGGGGAUCGGCCGAAGCCCGCAAGGGACGGGCCGUCCCCUAAAUAUAGUGGCGGACCCGCUGUGGCCUCCCCUGCGAAGUAGUGAUAUUCCGCAUUGGAGCAGCAGCGAGACCCUGCCGUUAAACCCCCAACUUUCCAAGGUUGACCUCAGAUCAGGUAGGAAUACCCGCUGAACUUAAGCAUAUCAAUAAGCGGAGGAAAAGAAACCAACAGGGAUUGCCCUAGUAACGGCGAGUGAAGCGGCAACAGCUCAAAUUUGAAAUCUGGCGCAAGCCCGAGUUGUAAUUUGUAGAGGAUGUUUCUGGCGACGUGCCUUCCGAGUUCCCUGGAACGGGACGCCAUAGAGGGUGAGAGCCCCGUACGGUUGGAUGCCUAGCCUCUGUGAAACUCCUUCGACGAGUCGAGUAGUUUGGGAAUGCUGCUCUAAAUGGGAGGUAUACGUCUUCUAAAGCUAAAUACCGGCCAGAGACCGAUAGCGCACAAGUAGAGUGAUCGAAAGAUGAAAAGCACUUUGAAAAGAGGGUUAAAAAGUACGUGAAAAUUGUUGAAAGGGGAAGCGUUCAUGAACCAGACUUGGGCAGGUUGAUCAUCCGUGGUUCUCCGCGGUGCACUCUGCCUGCCCAGGCCAGCAUCAGUUCGCUCCGGGGGAUAAAGGCUUCGGGAAUGUAGCUCCCUCGGGAGUGUUAUAGCCCGUUGCGUAAUACCCUGGGGCGGACUGAGGUUCGCGCUCGCAGAUGCAGCAAUCUGGAAUGGUCACAAACCCUUUUGAAAGGGGCAAAAA
rnacentral:rRNA from 1 species